GGGGGUGUUACUCGCUACCUGGGAACUUCUUCCUCCCCAGAUUAAACUAAGAAUCAGAAAUAUUCGAGCGCUAUUGUCGAAUGGAUUUCAUGUGAUCGGAGCAUUAAUUGCUGGGAGCUCUGAUAUAGAAAAAACUGCUCAAGAGGCUAUCGAUGCUGCUCUUCAAUUGAGAAAACUUCUCCCUGACGGAAGAGAAUCGGGGAAUCAAGAAAUCAUAGGAGCAGUUGCGGAUUUGGAU
rnacentral:misc_RNA from 1 species